UCCUGUCGGUCCCUUGUAAAUCAGAGAAACCUUCUAGAAGGGGAGGUUUAUAUUUGGUUUCCCUUUGACCGGAAGUUAAAACCCACGUCACCUCUCCGUUCAAACCUUUUACCCAAAACUGGCUUCCUCUUCAUCUUCACUCUUAUUUCUUGCACAGAUUUGAAGGUGUGAUUUUGUAAUUAGGUCUAAUUUUGGAAUUUAGUUCACAGAGAAGAAUCGGAGCAAUGUUAGAAGAGUGAUGGCAGAUCUAGCGGAAGACUACAAAGGAAUUUCUUACGACACGACUCGAUUUCUUCUUCUUCUUCUUCAAUAAAUCUAUGUUUCUGAGAUCCAUCAAUUUUACUGACACACCGGGGAGGGAUGGUGGGCAUAUGAUGAUGGCGGUUGGUGGUGGAGGCGGAUGGUGUCUUCAGAGGAAGACAACUCUCCUCAAUGUGCAGUUGCUUAACACUGUGUAGUGCUAUACUAAGUGAUCGUUGAAAUAGGUAGAGAUGUGAUCUGUAAAAUGCAGAAUCCGGGUAAAUUAUUUGAAGAAGCAACGGAAUCAAUACAUAAGACAAAAGCGAUUAAGGAAAUGGAUAAAUUGGUGCUAUACUUGCCAGAUUAGAAAGAAGUACGGUAGUGGAUGAACACACUACUACUUCAUGGUAUGGUCCCAAUUCCCUGCCUACAUGGCAGGGACCACACCACUUU
rnacentral:lncRNA from 1 species